UUUUUUCUCAAUCACAAUGCUUUGUACCACAGAUCUCUGAAUUAAUAAAAAAGGACACAUGAACCAUGAUUUUCUGCUGGUUGUGUUAUAUAUUUUCUAGACAUUAAUUUGGUGAUCUCUAUUUAGAUUAUUCACACUUUACAUUCCUGUAUUUUUUUCAGCAUCUAUACACUUUACAUUCCUGUAUAGUUUACCCUCCCCAUUGCUGACAUCUGUCGCCGUAGUGUAAGGAAGAAUGGCUUCGUGGAAUCACAUUUUUCCGCUGACCCGCCUCUUACUU
rnacentral:lncRNA from 1 species